UUGGGACAGCACAGGCAGCCUUACCCACUGGAUUCCCAGAGGACAAGAGCUACCAGACCUUUCUGCAAGAACACUGCUUCAACAAGACCACUUCAUCUGGACUGCUACCACCACAGUUUCAGGGAAGGUGGGACCUCUCUGCACCUCACCCUUCCCACCCCGCAGAGGUCAAACAUGACUCCAUGGCAGGCACUGAGGUGGAUGGGCUGGGGAGGCAGGGGCAGACACACCAGCUCUGAAGAUCCACAUUUGGAGAGGCUGAUGCAGAGGAGGAGCAGCAGCAGUCCCUGUCAUCGUGAGGUCUGGUGUUUGAGGAUGCUUAUCACCAUCUUCUUUUGAAACAUCCACAUGUGGAAGGACCUUCAUGCGAGUUGAGUUGUUGCCUCUGCUGAUCUCCAGAAAGCUCUCGAGCAGUGGGUGAUUUAUAACAAAGUCAGGGUUAAACUGAUGACAGGCUUGGGGCAAAGGAGGAAUCUGUGCAUAAAUCAGGCAGACAUGUGCCUUUGGUUUAGGGCUACAACUUUAAAGUUUUACCCACAGAGUGGGGUGAAGUAUCCUCCUCAAUGUUACCCAAAUCCUUGCUGCCGCACAAUAAAGGUGUUAAACACCCUGAAGGUGCAAAUUAACAUACUGGGGUUGUUAAAAUCACCAUCAGUGUCAGAAGGGCAGGCAGGGACACGACACUGGCAUGUGGGGACUGGCACAUGCGCUGUGCUGGGAGCCCCUCUGAGCCUGAAUCUGUCACCGCACUGUUCGUCAUCCCAGCGGUGGAUUUUGCUGAGCUCCCAUCUGGCCAAAGGCCAUUCAGUUCAUUCUGAAUAUUGAAGUUUUGGUAUCAGAGAAUUAUUCACUGGAUUAAUCUGAACCUUCAGGGGCCAUUUGGUCUUCAGUCAUCAUCCUUCACUACCGCUCCUGACCUGGCAGAGUCCUUCUGCAAUUGCAGCAUGAAUUCCUGCACAAGAGGAUUGGAAAUACAGGUUCUGGACACAGAGGAACUGGUAUUUCUGUGACCAAAAGACCAAACACAGGAGUCAGCCCUCAAACAGCCAGACUCAGGGAGGAGCUGAAGUAGAGCCACAUGAAAAGUUGACAUUUAUGGUGUCUCUUCACAGCUUUCAGCACCUCAGAUGAACAUUUCUGUGAAAACAUCAAUAAAUGGAAUAAACCAAGGUCUUACCAGCUGCCUACUACAGACCCUCUCUGUGUUCUUGUAUUGUCCAAACCCUGAGUAGUCAGGAAAAGCCCCCAGGUGAGCCUCACACAUCCCAAGUUCUACAGCUCCAAUUGACAUUGUUUCUUCAAGGGCAUUUUUAUAUUAAAAAGAAAGCCCAACUGAUUUACAGGGUGAUCAGUCUCCUUUAAAGUCUU